rnacentral:rRNA from 1 species
GGGGGGGGCGGGGGUGCUUAUGCAUGCAGUCGACGAUCCUUCCCGCAAGGGAAGGGUAGUGGCAAACGGGUGAGUAAUACGUAGGUAACCUGUCCCUAAGCGGGGGAUAACUCCGGGAAACUGGGGCUAAUACCGCAUGUGGUUAUUUAUCGCAAGGUUAAUAACUAAAGUCGUAAGACUCUUGGGGAGGGGCCUGCGUCUGAUUAGCUAGUUGGUGGGGUAAAGGCCUACCAAGGCGAUGAUCGGUAGCUGGUCUGAGAGGAUAUCCAGCCACACGGGGACUGAGACACGGCCCCGACUCCUACGGGAGGCAGCAGCAAGGAAUUUUGCGCAAUGGGCGAAAGCCUGACGCAGCGACGCCGCGUGUGGGAUGAACGCCUUCGGGUCGUAAACCACUUUUCUCAGGGAGGAAUAAAUGACAGUACCUGGGGAAUAAGUCACGGCUAACUACGUGCCAGCAGCCGCGGUAAUACGUAGGUGGCUAGCGUUAUCCGGAUUUAUUGGGCGUAAAGAGGGCGCUGGUGGCUUUGUAAGUCGGAUGUGAAAUCUCCUGGCUUAACUGGGAGCGGUCAUUCGAUACUGUGAAGCUUGAGAGCAUCAGAGGGAGGUGGAAUUCCCGGUGUAGUGGUGAAAUGCGUAGAUAUCGGGAGGAACACCAGUGGCGAAAGCGACCUCCUGGGGUGCUUCUGACGCUUAGGCCCGAAAGUGUGGGGAUCAAACAGGAUUAGAUACCCUGGUAGUCCACACUAUAAACGAUGGACACUAGAUAUGGGGAGUAUCGACCCUCUCCGUGUCGUAGCUAACGCGUUAAGUGUCCCGCCUGGGGAGUACGGUCGCAAGACUAAAACUCAAAGGAAUUGACGG